rnacentral:rRNA from 1 species
GCUCGGUCUGAUUAGUGGCGAACGGGUGAGUAACACGUGAGUAACCUGCCCCCCACUUCGGGAUAACUUCGAGAAAUCGUGGCUAAUACCGGAUAUGAACUUCCGCCGCAUGGUGGUUGUUGGAAAGUUUUUCGGUGGGGGAUGGACUCGCGGCCUAUCAGUUUGUUGGUGAGGUAAUGGCUCACCAAGACGAUGACGGGUAGCCGGCCUGAGAGGGCGACCGGCCACACUGGGACUGAGACACGGCCCAGACUCCUACGGGAGGCAGCAGUGGGGAAUAUUGCACAAUGGGCGAAAGCCUGAUGCAGCGACGCCGCGUGAGGGAUGACGGCCUUCGGGUUGUAAACCUCUUUCAGUAGGGAAGAAGCGAGAGUGACGGUACCUGCAGAAGAAGCGCCGGCUAACUACGUGCCAGCAGCCGCGGUAAUACGUAGGGCGCAAGCGUUGUCCGGAAUUAUUGGGCGUAAAGAGCUUGUAGGUGGCUUGUCGCGUCUGCCGUGAAAACCCGAGGCUCAACCUCGGGCGUGCGGUGGGUACGGGCAGGCUAGAGUGUGGUAGGGGAGACUGGAACUCCUGGUGUAGCGGUGAAAUGCGCAGAUGUCAGGAAGAACACCGAUGGCGAAGGCAGGUCUCUGGGCCAUUACUGU